AUCAAAUUAGUAAAAUUUAUUAUAUGGUCUUGAUGUGGCUGGGUUUUCCUUUUGGAAAUUUGAUA
rnacentral:tRNA from 1 species